rnacentral:rRNA from 1 species
CUACGGGGUGCUGCAGUGAGGAAUAUUGCACAAUGGGGGGAACCCUGAUGCAGCAACGCCGCGUGGAGGAUGACGCAUUUCGGUGUGUAAACUCCUUUUAUAUGUCAAGAAAAUGACGGUAGCAUAUGAAUAAGCACCGGCUAACUCCGUGCCAGCAGCCGCGGUAAUACGGAGGGUGCAAGCGUUACUCGGAAUCACUGGGCGUAAAGGACGCGUAGGCGGGUUGGAAAGUCAGGUGUGAAAUCCUACAGCUUAACCGUAGAACUGCAAUUGAAACUUCUAAUCUAGAGUAUGGGAGGGGGAGAUGGAAUUAGUGGUGUAGGGGUAAAAUCCGUAGAUAUCACUAGGAAUACCUAAAGCGAAGGCGAUCUCCUGGAACAUUACUGACGCUAAGGCGUGAAAGCGUGGGGAGCAAACAGGAGUAGAUACCCGUGUAGUC